CUGACCGUGCUAAGGUAGCGAAAUCAUUUGCCCCUUAAUUAGUGGCCUGUAUGAAAGGACAAACGAGAGCAUCCCUGUCUCCUCUCUAAUAGCUGAAAACUUAUCUCCAGGUGAAGAAGCCUAGAUCCCCGUAAAAGACAAGAAGUCCCCGUCGAGCUUUAACAAUAUCUAAUCUGCCCCCCCUCCGCCCAGAACGACUCCCCCUUAAUAAAAGUUUUUGUUGGGGCAACAUUGGAGACAUUAUAACCUCCAAAAACAAAACCAAAGACCCCGCGUCACCCCAAAGACCCCCACCCGACUUCCGACACCAGCUACCGCAGGGAUAACAGGCUAAUUCCUCACAAGAGCCCGAAUCAACUGAGGAGGUUGGCACCUCGAUGUUGGCUUAAGAUUACCUCCAGACGCAGCAGUCUCAACGGUGGGUUUGUUCAACCUUUAANAUCUUACGUGAUCUGAGUUCAGACCGG
rnacentral:rRNA from 1 species